rnacentral:rRNA from 1 species
GAUUGAACGCUGGCGGCAGGCCUAACACAUGCAAGUCGAACGGUAACAGGAAACAGCUUGCUGUUUCGCUGACGAGUGGCGGACGGGUGAGUAAUGUCUGGGAAACUGCCUGAUGGAGGGGGAUAACUACUGGAAACGGUAGCUAAUACCGCAUAACGUCGCAAGACCAAAGAGGGGGACCCUCGGGCCUCUUGCCAUCGGAUGUGCCCAGAUGGGAUUAGCUUGUUGGUGGGGUAACGGCUCACCAAGGCGACGAUCCCUAGCUGGUCUGAGAGGAUGACCAGCCACACUGGAACUGAGACACGGUCCAGACUCCUACGGGAGGCAGCAGUGGGGAAUAUUGCACAAUGGGCGCAAGCCUGAUGCAGCCAUGCCGCGUGUAUGAAGAAGGCCUUCGGGUUGUAAAGUACUUUCAGCGGGGAGGAAGGGAGUAAAGUUAAUACCUUUGCUCAUUGACGUUACCCGCAGAAGAAGCACCGGCUAACUCCGUGCCAGCAGCCGCGGUAAUACGGAGGGUGCAAGCGUUAAUCGGAAUUACUGGGCGUAAAGCGCACGCAGGCGGUUUGUUAAGUCAGAUGUGAAAUCCCCGGGCUCAACCUGGGAACUGCAUCUGAUACUGGCAAGCUUGAGUCUCGUAGAGGGGGGGUAGAAUUCCAGGUGUAGCGGUGAAAUGCGUAGAGAUCUGGAGGAAUACCGGUGGCGAAGGCGGCCCCCUGGACGAAGACUGACGCUCAGGUGCGAAAGCGUGGGGAGCAAACAGGAUUAGAUACCCUGGUAGUCCACGCCGUAAACGAUGUCGACUUGGAGGUUGUGCCCUUGAGGCGUGGCUUCCGGAGCUAACGCGUUAAGUCGACCGCCUGGGGAGUACGGCCGCAAGGUUAAAACUCAAAUGAAUUGACGGGGGCCCGCACAAGCGGUGGAGCAUGUGGUUUAAUUCGAUGCAACGCGAAGAACCUUACCUGGUCUUGACAUCCACGGAAGUUUUCAGAGAUGAGAAUGUGCCUUCGGGAACCGUGAGACAGGUGCUGCAUGGCUGUCGUCAGCUCGUGUUGUGAAAUGUUGGGUUAAGUCCCGCAACGAGCGCAACCCUUAUCCUUUGUUGCCAGCGGUCCGGCCGGGAACUCAAAGGAGACUGCCAGUGAUAAACUGGAGGAAGGUGGGGAUGACGUCAAGUCAUCAUGGCCCUUACGACCAGGGCUACACACGUGCUACAAUGGCGCAUACAAAGAGAAGCGACCUCGCGAGAGCAAGCGGACCUCAUAAAGUGCGUCGUAGUCCGGAUUGGAGUCUGCAACUCGACUCCAUGAAGUCGGAAUCGCUAGUAAUCGUGGAUCAGAAUGCCACGGUGAAUACGUUCCCGGGCCUUGUACACACCGCCCGUCACACCAUGGGAGUGGGUUGCAAAAGAAGUAGGUAGCUUAACCUUCGGGAGGGCGCUUACCACUUUGUGAUUCAUGACUGGGGU